UUGACCUCGAAUCAGGUAGGAAUACCCGCUGAACUUAAGCAUAUCAAUAAGCGGANGAAA
rnacentral:rRNA from 1 species